ensembl:lncRNA
GAAAUUGAAAAACCUAAAUCAUCUGGUACUGGUCACAUACAACGUGCUGUCUGGGCUGCCACAGAGUCGGAUAAUUCCUCUUUGAAUGGUGAAGAGUAUGAUAAAGUGUCAUGUGCAGUACAGCAUCUGCAUGCAUUACUGCAUGAUUAAAUUAUGCUUUUGCAGCUUUGUGGUGUUAUCUAUGCUAUUGCUGUUUUACAACUGUUGCUUUUUGUGGUUUAUUUUAGCUUGUUUUUAAGUUUCUGUUUUAAUUGACUAUUUGUUUACUGUCCUUAUUGUUGAUUUUUUAUGACACUGACCAACUGAGUGUUGACCAUGACUUUAUUAUUAUAAUUUUUUUUUAAUGCAAACAUUACGGUAAAUGAUCUUUCAAGACUGGAAAUUAACUCUCAGCAUUUAUAAU